UACGUAGGGGGCAAGCGUUGUCCGGAAUCAUUGGGCGUAAAGAGCGUGUAGGCGGCUCGAUAAGUCCGCUCUGAAAGCCCGGGGCUCAACCCCGGGAGGCGGGCGGAAACUGUCGGGCUAGAGUCCGGAAGAGGCGAGUGGAAUUCCCGGUGUAGCGGUGAAAUGCGCAGAUAUCGGGAGGAACACCAAUGGCGAAGGCAGCCCGCUGGGACGUGACUGACGCUGAGACGCGAAAGCGUGGGGAGCAAACAGG
rnacentral:rRNA from 1 species